GAUGAACGCUGGCGGCGUGCUUAACACAUGCAAGUCGAACGAUGAAGCCCAGCUUGCUGGGUGGAUUAGUGGCGCACGGGUGAGUAACACGUGAGUAACCUGCCCUUAACUCUGGGAUAAGCCUGGGAAACUGGGUCUAAUACCGGAUAGGAGCGUCCACCGCAUGGUGGGUGUUGGAAAGAUUUAUCGGUUUUGGAUGGACUCGCGGCCUAUCAGCUUGUUGGUGGGGUAAUGGCUCACCAAGGCGACGACGGGUAGCCGGCCUGAGAGGGUGACCGGCCACAUUGGGACUGAGACACGGCCCAGACUCCUACGGGAGGCAGCAGUGGGGAAUAUUGCACAAUGGGCGGAAGCCUGAUGCAGCAACGCCGCGUGAGGGAUGACGGCCUUCGGGUUGUAAACCGCUUUCGGUUGGGAAGAAGCGUGAGUGACGGUAACUGGAGAAGAAGCACCGGCUAACUACGUG
rnacentral:rRNA from 1 species